rnacentral:misc_RNA from 1 species
GAUGAAGAACGCAGCGAAAUGCGAUAAGUAGUGUGAAUUGCAGAAUUCAGUGAAUCAUCGAAUCUUUGAACGCACAUUGCGCCCCUUGGUAUCCCGAGGGGCAUGCCUGUUCGAGCGUCAUUCCACCACUCAAGCCUGGCUUGGUGUUGGGCGACGUCCCCUUUGGGGACGCGCCUCGAAACGCUCGGCGGCGUGGCACCGGCUUUAAGCGUAGCAGAAUCUUUCGCUUUGGAAGUCGGGGCCCCGUCUGCCGGAAGACCUACUCGCAAGGUUGACCUCGGAUCAGGCAGGGAUACCCGCUGAACUUAAGCAUAUCAAUAAGCGGAGGA